CUACGUGCCAGCAGCCGCGGUAAUACGUAGGUGGCAAGCGUUGUCCGGAAUUAUUGGGCGUAAAGCGCGCGCAGGCGGAUCUGCCAGUCUGUCUUAAAAGUUCGGGGCUCAACCCCGUGAUGGGAUGGAAACUACAGAUCUAGAGUAUCGGAGGGGAAAGUGGAAUUCCUAGUGUAGCGGUGAAAUGCGUAGAUAUUAGGAAGAACACCAGUGGCGAAGGCGACUUUCUGGACGAAAACUGACGCUGAGGCGCGAAAGCCAGGGGAGCGAACCGGAUUAGAUACCCGGGUAGUCCACGCCGUAAACGAUGGAUACUAGCUGUUGGAGGUAUCGACCCCUUCAGUAGCGAAGCUAACGCGUUAAGUAUCCCGCCUGUGGAGUACGGCCGCAAGGCUAAAACAUAAAGGAAUUGACGGGGACCCGCACAAGCGGUGGAUUAUGUUCUUUAAUUCGAUGAUAACCGAAGAACCUUACCAGGGCUUGACAUCCAG
rnacentral:rRNA from 1 species